rnacentral:rRNA from 1 species
GACAGAGGGGGCAAGCGUUGCUCGGAAUCACUGGGCGUAAAGGGCGCGUAGGCGGGAUGGCAAGUCAGUCGUGAAAUCUCUCGGCUCAACCGAGAAACGUCGGCUGAUACUGCCGUUCUUGAGGGAUGCAGAGGAGAGUGGAAUUCCUGGUGUAGCGGUGAAAUGCGCAGAUAUCAGGAAGAACACCCGUGGCGAAGGCGGCUCUCUGGUACGUGACUGACGCUGAGACGCGAAAGCGUGGGGAGCGAACAGG